UAUCUGUGUGGAUGCUUUGUGUUAACAUCCGACCAAGGCAUGCAAGAGCUGUGGCAUUUGAUUGCUUUUGUGUGAGUCCUUCAGCCCAAAUGGAGCAAGGUUCCCCACCCUGUGAGUCAACACCAAACUUAUUAACCUAGGCAGGAUGUACCUGGAUGAGUGAAAGCCUUUCGAUCCCCUGCUGAGCAUACAACUCGGAUGAUGAAGGAUGCAAUUGGGGGAUUGUCUCUUGUUAGAUUCGAAAUUUCUGGGUAUAAUUUAACAUACAAUACCCUGUUCUUCUCCAUUGACAAAUGCCUUCAAUCCACAUAAAAAGCAAGGUAUAAGAACAGUGUUCCAAUAAACUUAUAUUCAUCCAGAUUUAUCAUGAUAAACAACAAAAAAUUCUAGCAACUCAAGAGAAACAAUAACAAACCAAAGUUUAAAGCCCCAUAAAGGAUUUCAUCCAUGAUGGAUGGACGUUUAUCCAAAUUCCAAGGAUAAGAAACGAAACUAAUGGAUGAUCAAAACAUGGUAUAUAGUCAUUUAGUUUUGUUAUUUAUUAUUAACUUUGACUCUUUGUAAGAAAAAGAUGAAGAGAAAUCAAAGGAGACAGACCAAUUCCAGUUGCCGAUCUUGAAAGGAUCGGAUUUGCGGUAAGUGCAAAAGGCAAGAUUAUCUAUCCUCCAUUGAGCAAGACGAGCGGUGGUUUCGACUCUGUAAGCAGACUCGGUCAUCCUAAACAAAGCCAGGGACGCAGUGAUCUCAUGGAUGCAAUCAAAUAUACCUUCGAAAAAAUGGUCUCUUGACUUUCCCAGGUUUACUGUUACUAUAUCCCUCUCUCCACAUUAAAUACUUGAAUCAGCCAAAAACAAAACACAACACCCACUUUCUCCCUUCUGCCUGUAAACAAAAAACACUGCUGGUGGUGUCCGGUCUGGAAAUAUUAGAGACAGAGAUGAGAGAAGUGGCGAAGUGUAGUUUAAAUAUGGCAAGGGUUGGUGUUAAUUUAAUAUGGUGUUGAGCAGAGAGAGAGAGAGAGAGAGAGAGAGGAAGGGAAGAUUUGGUGAAAUGUUUGUUUCGAUUUGAGCUGAUAUUCAGGUGGGUGCGUGGGGUUAUUUAUUGGAGAAUUUGGAGUGGAGGGUCGUCCAUAGAUCGAGUCAUACACACAAAAACAAAAAGCUUUUCCCUAAGGUUUUUUUUUUUUUUUUUAGCACUGCUCUUCCUAUUUGUAUUUCAUUAAGGGGUUUGUGUUUAAUGGUUGGACUAAAUUUAUGGAGCUUUGAUUUCAAGCAAAGUAUCUAAUUCUAAUCUCUAAUACUUUGCCUUGUUUGAAUUUAUUGGGGUGAAGUAAAAUCUCGAACUCAAGUUUGUGUAUCAAAAAAUAAAUAAAACUCUUAUUCUUAUUUAAAUGUUUGAUUCGAUUCAUUUAGAUCUAGUGAGAGAAUUUGUAAGUCAUUCUAAUUAAUUCCUAUUCCACACUCAUUGGGCCAUUCAUGGAUUUGCUUGCACCCAAGUCAACUGCUUCUGUUGGCUUGCUUGCUUCUCUUUCAGGUUCUUUCCUUUUAAUGUAAAUGAAGCCAUCAGGCUAUGGAGAAAGAAGAAAAGAAAGGAAAAGGACAGGGUUUGAUUGCUUUU